GCCUCUGCUUCCAGUUGUGCCUCCAUAGCCUCCAGGUCCAGCUCCAUAACCACCUGGGCCAGCCCCGUAACCUCCGGGUCCCACUCCGUAACCUCCCGGACCAGUACCAAAGCCACCAGGACCAGCUCCAUAUCCGCCAGGUUUUGCGAAUCCUGUUCCUACUCCACCAGCCCCAGGUACCAGGCCUGCUCCUCCAGGACCUCGUCCAGCUGACCCAACUCCUCCUGCAAGUCCACCAGCUCCACCAGGUCCUGCGCUUACACCUCCUGCGACAGUCCCAUCUGGUCCAUAUAGUACAUUUACAAAAUAAGCAACUAAUAGAUAUUCACACACACACACACACACACACACACACACACACACACACACACAUACAAAAAC